rnacentral:rRNA from 1 species
UACGUAGGGCGCAAGCGUUGUCCGGAAUCAUUGGGCGUAAAGAGCUCGUAGGCGGCCUGUCGCGUCUGCUGUGAAAUCCCGGGGCUUAACCCCGGGCGUGCAGUGGAUACGGGCUGGCUGGAGGCAGGCAGGGGAGAACGGAAUUCCCGGUGUAGCGGUGAAAUGCGCAGAGAUCGUAAGGAAGACCAGUGGCGAAGGCGGGUCUCUGGACAGUUCCUGACACUGAGGCACGAAGGCCAGGGGAGCAAACGGG